UUUGACGAUUCGGCUGAAAGUGCGAGGCCCAAAAAAGCGGCCGCGAUCUCUUGUCAAGAUCGCGGCCACAAGAUGU
rnacentral:sRNA from 1 species